UACGAAGGGGGCUAGCGUUGCUCGGAAUCACUGGGCGUAAAGCGCACGUAGGCGGAUUGUUAAGUCAGGGGGUGAAAUCCUGGAGCUCAACUCCAGAACUGCCUUUGAUACUGGCGAUCUCGAGUCCGGGAGAGGUGAGUGGAACUGCGAGUGUAGAGGUGAAAUUCGUAGAUAUUCGCAAGAACACCAGUGGCGAAGGCGGCUCACUGGCCCGGUACUGACGCUGAGGCACGAAAGCGUGGGGAGCAAACAGG
rnacentral:rRNA from 1 species